rnacentral:rRNA from 1 species
GGGUCAGUAGGUUGGUCGUGCCACCGGUACGUACUGGUCUCACUGAUUCCUCCUUCCUGAAGAACCGUAAUGCCAUUAAUUUGGUGUUGCGGGGAAACAGGACUGUUACUUUGGAAAAAUUAGAGUGUUUAAAGCAAGCUAACGCUUGAAUACAUUAGCAUGGAAUAAUGAAACAGGACGAUCGAUCCUAUUUUGUUGGUUUCUAGGAUUGACGUA